UCCCUGGUGGCUCAGACGGUAAAGAAUCCGCCUGCAAUGCAGGAGACCCAGGUUCAAUCCCUGGACUGGGAA
rnacentral:tRNA from 1 species